UGUGAUUGAGCUUUCAGUUUUUGGUUUGGUUACAUUGAGCAGGAGAUAGAGAAAUCAAGUAACCAUACCAAAAAUUCCUUGAAUAGAUUCAGUGGAUUGCAUUAUGAAGUCCAAAAUCUAACCAUAAUGAAAUACUCGAACUGAUUUCUUGUUGAUGUCCAUCAAAUUCAAGAGCAAAUGAGGUCCUCCCCAGCACAGAAGAAGCCUCACAAGCGAAGAACUAACCACGUGUAAUUUGUUUAUAAACAUCAUCUUUGGUUAGGAACUUAGGAUGCCAAUUUUUUGAAAAUUGUAAAAAUGGAUGGCUUGGUUAGAAUGCCAGCUCCUGCUGAAACUUCCAAAUUUUGAAAUAUUUAUGUUUACAGUCUGAUUAAAACACUAGCUUUUACAUAUUGUAAAACAAUAAUAAAUUUAAUUAACAUUGUUCAAAUUAUGAUUAU